rnacentral:rRNA from 1 species
AAUAUUGGACAAUGGGCGAAAGCCUGAUCCAGCCAUGCCGCGUGUGUGAAGAAGGNCUNNGGAUUNUNAAGCACUUUAAGUUUNNNNNAUGGGUUGUAGAUUAUUACCCUGCACUUUUGACGUUACCAUCAGAAUAAGCACCGCCUAACUUCGUUCCAGCAGCCGCGGGAAUACGAAGGGUGCAAGCGUUAAUCGGAAUUACGGGGCGUAAAGCACGCGUAGGUGGUUCGUUAAGUUGGAAGUGAAAGCCCCGGGCUUAACCAGGGAAUUGCUUUCAAAACUGACGGGCUAGAGUACGGUAGAGGGUAGUGGAAGUUCCUGUGUAGCGGUGAAAUGCGUAGAUAUAGGAAGGAACAUCAGUGGCGAAGGCGACUACCUGAACUGAUACUGACACUGAGGUGCGAAAGCGUGGGGAGCAAACAGG